CACGUGCUUAAAUACGCUCGCGUGCCCUCCUGCAGCGAACACCAAUCAUAUAUCUCGAGGAAAAUUUCAAAAGAUCCUAUCUGACAUUUGUAAACAAAAACCAAUUUAUGCGUAUUCAUUAAGAAGACCUUCUUGUCUUUAGGUUUAGUGAAAAAAAAAAUUGUUUUUGAUUUUUAUAAAAAAAAAUUAUAGUAUCCGAAAAAAGUCCAAUUUGAAAAGCAACACAAUAUCGCACAGCUUUCUGUUUGGACCUUUUUACCUACUAGUAGGCCAAUCUGUUAUUCGAACAAAAACUUUGACAGAUACAGAUUGGACCUCGCAUUUUAAACUGUUGCAAAACAUGUUAAAAUUCUUUAUCAGUGAAAUGAAGUGCAGAAGAGAAAAAAUGAAGUUAUCUUCGUCUAAGCUUCAGUCGUUGCUCGAUGUCGCCGAGAGAAUUGAUUUGCGUCUUCGAAGUCCAAAGACCAGAAAUCGCAUGAAAAUUUUUUAUCGCGGUUUUAGUAUGAGAGUAUGUGAUCUCUCCAUGCAAUCAACUGAUUUGGAAGAUUGUGAAUCGUCAUUCGAGGCUCAGUAUCAACCUCGGCCAUGUCACUACCGUCCUACUAAUGGAGAUUGUCCGCACGACGGUAUAGGGACAUAUAACUGUUCACCUUCUUGCCUCCAUAAGAUUGGUUCUUGUGAUUGUUCAUAUAGUCACGAGUAUAGUAAAUUACGCAACACCUAGACGAAUUUGAUGGAAAUUUGGCAUUGGAAACUACGCACUGAUCUCGAACAUCUCGCCGUCAUCGUUGUUUUUUCUCUCACGAUAUUUCAUAUUAAUAAAUAAAUAUAACAUUCACUGUUUUGUUACCGUUUCUUUGUUUUUUUUUUUUAAUCAUUUAACUAUUUCAAAUAUUUAUA